rnacentral:rRNA from 2 species
UUUUAUGGAGAGUUUGAUCCUGGCUCAGGAUGAACGCUGGCGGCGUGCCUAAUACAUGCAAGUCGAGCGAACAGAUAAGGAGCUUGCUCCUUUGACGUUAGCGGCGGACGGGUGAGUAACACGUGGG